AGCUCAGCUGGCUAGAGCGCUUGCCUGGCAGGCAAGAGGUCAGGGGUUCGACUCCCCUA
rnacentral:tRNA from 1 species